GACAAGGGACUGGAGAACAAGAGAACCCGGGCCCAUGUCUAGAAGACAGAGGUCACAGCUGAAUGCAGCAGCUGCCCUGCAGCCACUGCUAUCUUGGAAAUCCACCUGCUCGGCUCAGCAGACCCGUGGACCUCUGGUAACAGCUGAGCAAGGGACACUGCAGAUGAGGCAGAGCUACCGCAGUGACACCUACCUCAGAAGGGCCUCUGCAGACUGGUGUGUGUGCCUACAGUGUCCUGCCCAAUAGCAGGGGCUGGAUUUGCCUUGCUCGGGUUCGUGCUUCCCCCAAGACACCAGGGGCCCGGGUAGGAUGGUGAUAGAAAAUAAAGGCCACUGUGUGAGGAGUGA